CCAUUAGAUGUCCUGGGCUGCACGCGCGCUACACUGAUGUGUCCAGUAAGCACCUAACCUCUUCCGAAAGGAACGGGUAACCUUUGCAAAGCACAUCGUGAUGGGGAUAGAUUAUUGCAAUUAUUAGUCUUGAACGAGGAAUUCCUAGUAAGCACAAGUCAUCAGCUUGUGUUGAUUACGUCCCUGCCCUUUGUACACACCGCCCGUCGCUCCUACCGAUUGAAUGUUCCGGUGAGCUCUUCGGACUGCGCGGUCUGCAGUUUCUGCGUUCCGUGCGGAAAGUUGCGCAAACCUUAACAUUUAGAGGAAGGAGAAGUCGUAACA
rnacentral:rRNA from 1 species